rnacentral:pre_miRNA from 1 species
UUGAAGUGCAAGUACUAGAAUGUUUGAUAUUAUAGUUAUUGAUUUCAAUGACUAUAAUAUCAAACAUUCUAGUACUUGCACUUCAA